GGGCCUGUAGUGUAGUGGAUAGCAUAGAACCUUGCGGAGGUUCUGACCCGGGUUCAACUCCCGGCAGGCCCA
rnacentral:tRNA from 1 species